rnacentral:rRNA from 1 species
CUGUGCCUACGGGAGGCAGCAGUGGGGAAUAUUGCACAAUGGGCGCAAGCCUGAUGCAGCGACGCCGCGUGCGGGAUGGAGGCCUUCGGGUUGUAAACCGCUUUUGUUCAAGGGCAAGGCACGGUCUUUGGCCGUGUUGAGUGGAUUGUUCGAAUAAGCACCGGCUAACUACGUCCCAGCAGCCGCGGUAAUACGUAGGGUGCAAGCGUUAUCCGGAUUUAUUGGGCGUAAGGGCUCGUAGGCGGUUCGUCGCUUCCGGUGUGAAAGUCCAUCGCUUAACGGUGGAUCUGCGCCGGGUACGUGCG